GGCCAUUCUGAUUGGUGUGGGGUGGUGUCUCAUGGUAGUUUUGAUUUGCAUUUAUCUAAUAAUCAGGGAUGUGGAGCAUUUUUUCAUGUGAUCGUUGGCCAUCUGUAUGUCUUCCUUGGAGAAAUGUCUAUUCAGGUCUUUCGUCCAUUUUUCAGUUGGGUUGAUUGGCUUUUUUGUUGUUGAGUUGUAUAAGUUGUUUGUGUGUUUUAGAGAUUAAGCCCUUGUCAAUUGCAUCAUUUGAAACUAUUUUCUUCCAUUCUAUAAGUUGUCUUUUUUUUUUUUUUUUUUUUUUCCUUUGCUGUGCAAAACUUGUCAGUCUGAUUAGGUCCCAUUGGUUUAUUUUUGUUUUUAUUUAUGUUGCUUUGGGAGACUGAAUUGAGAAGACAUUUGUAAGGUUAAUAUGAGACAAUGUGUUGCCUAUGUUCUCUUCCAGGAGUUUGAUGGUGUCUUGUCUUAAAUAUUUAAGUCUUCUAGUCAUUUUGAGUUCAUUUUCCUGCAUGGUGUGAGGGUGUGUUCUAGUUUCAAUGAUUUGCAUGCAGCUGUCCAGGUUUCCCAGCAGUACUUGCUGAAAAGACUGUCUUUUUCCUAUUUUAUGUUCUUGCCUCCUUUGUCAAAGACUAAUUGACCAUAGGUGUCUGGGUUUAUUUCUAGGUUCUCUAUUCUAUUCCUUUGGUCUGUCUGUCUGUUUUGGUAGCAAUACCACACUGUAUUGAUGACUGUAGCUUUGUAAUAUUUCCUGAAGUCUGGGAGAGUUAUGCUUCCUGCUUGGUUUUUGUUCCUCAGAAUUGCUUUGGCAAUUCUGGGUCUUUAGUGGUUCCAUAUAAAUUUUUGGAUUGUUUGUUCUAGUUCUGUGGAAAAUGUCAUGGGUAAUUUGAUAGGGAUUGCAUUAAGUCUAUAGAUUGCUUUGGGUAGUGUGGCCAUUUUUACAAUAUUAGUUUUUCCAACCCAGGAGCAUGGAAAACUUUCCUUUUCUUUACAUCUUCCUCAAUUUUCUUGAUUAAUGUUUUAUCUUUCUCAGCAUGUAAGUCUUUUACCUCCUUGGUCAGGUGUUUUCCCAGGUAUUUGAAUUUUUGGGGUGCAAUUUUAAAGGGUAUUGUAUUUUUGUAUUCCUUUUCUAAUAUUUUGUUGUUAGUAUACAGAAAUGCGACUGAUUUCUGAAUGUUAAUCUUAUAUCCUGCUACUUUGCUGAAUUUGUUGAUUAGGUAAUUUAGAGGGACCAAAAUAUUACUAAGACUAUUUCUGGAUUUCAAGCAAAAUAAAUCUAGUUAAAAUAUGGGCAGGUGGGAGUUCCCGUCAUGGCUCAGUGGAAACAAAUAUGACUGGCAUCCAUGAGGAUGCAGGUUUAAUCUCUGGCCUUGCUCUGUGGGUUAAGGAUCUGGUGUUGCAGCAAGCUGUGGUAUGUCUCUGAGCAUGUCUUGGAUCCCACGUUAUUAUGGCUGUGGUUUAGGCCAGCAGCUCCAGGUCCGAUUGUACCCUUAGCCUGGGAACCUCAAUAUGCUGCUAGUGCAGCUCUAAAAAGACCCAAAAAAAGUAUAUAUGGGUAGGUGAAGAGAAAUUGUAGCCUUCCCAUGCCUUGUCAUGAAUGUGAUGUAACAGGAACACAGAUGAUCAUCAUGGAAGCAUAAGAUGCCUUGCCCCAUGGAAACAUUUACCCUAGGUGCUGAGUGGACUAAGAAGAUGGGUAAUGAAACAUGAGAAGUUUAGGUCAUUAAGCUUUGGCUGUUUCGUUAGGGUCUCCCUGUGAUAUAAAUUCCACCUUCAAAGGCCUUAUAGCAAACUUUCUGUGGUAUAUCUUUAAGCCUUUGUAUUGUGUACAGAGAGAUGAACACUUACUCUCCCACACUUUAAAAUAUGGUCAAUAAAGAUGUUGCAGUAUGAAUUUACCUAAAAUCCCUAUCCUUAAUAGCCACACAUAUGCAUCACUCUGUUGCAACCGAAGCAUACAGGAAUGCUAUUGCAUGGCCUUGAAUUUUACUUGCUCACUAGCUACAAGGAAGCUCUAUCUGAUCUAUGCAGUGUAAUAAGAUCAAGAAGGUCGUGCAAAGGGGUGAUAGCAGUGGCAUCCUGCAGAGGGCCAGUAAAAAAAAGACCCAGUGUGCAUUAGAAAUGUCACUGAAGGGAGUUCCUGUUGUGAUUGUGGCUCAGUGCUAAUGAACCUGACUGGUACCCAUGAGGCCUCACUCAGUGGGUUAAGGAUCCAGCGUUGCUAUGACCUGUGGAAUGGGUCACAGAUGUGGCUCAAAUCUGGUGCAUUUCUGAGGCUGUGGCAUAGACAGGUGGCUACAGCUCCAAUUUGACCCAUAGCCUGGGAACUUCCAUAUGCUGUGGGUGUGACCUCAAAAAGACAAAAAAAAGAAAAAAAGAAAAAAGAAAUGUCACCAAAACAUGGCUAGGAGCAAGGAAGACUCACUAGACAUUGGCAUCAGUAUUUGAUUUUCUGCCUCAAUUUUCUUAUUUUAUUUCAAUAAAGAGAUGGUUCAUAUAUUUUUAAAUGGAAAUUCUUGUAAAUAGAAUUAGUUCUAUAAAUAUAAGUUCUAUCCUCACUGGACCAGGCUUGCACCAAACACAGCUUAUAAAUAAAAACACAAUACCCAAUUGCACUUGCUUUCUUACCCAUAUUUUCUAUGGAUGCUGAUAUGUGGAUUCAAGAAUUGGUCUUUUUAUUAUGACUGGGAAAAAAA
rnacentral:lncRNA from 1 species